GUGUCAGCCGCCGCGGUAAGACGAACCUUGCUAACGUUAUUCGGAAUUACUGGGCUUAAAGGGUGCGUAGGCGGUGCAGCAAGUCGGGUGUGAAAGCCCUCAGCUCAACUGAGGAAUUGCGCCCGAAACUGCUGUGCUUGAGGAAUACAGAGGUAUGCGGAACUUAGGGUGGAGCGGUGAAAUGCGUUGAUAUCCUAAGGAACACCGGUGGCGAAAGCGGCAUACUGGGUAUUUUCUGACGCUCAUGCACGAAAGCUAGGGUAGCGAACGGGAUUAGAUACCCUGGUAGUCC
rnacentral:rRNA from 1 species